UACGAGGGUGCAGCGUUAAUCGGAUUACUGGGCGUAAAGCGUGCGAGGUGUUUGUAAGUCAGAUGUGAAAUCCCCGAGCUCAACUUGGGAACUGCGUUUGAAACUACCAGACUAGAAUAUGUCAGAGGGGGGUAGAAUUCCACGUGUAGCAGUGAAAUGCGUAGAGAUGUGGAGGAAUACCGAUGGCGAAGGCAGCCCCCUGGGAUAAUAUUGACGCUCAUGCACGAAAGCGUGGGAGCGAACAGGAUUAGAUACCCCGGGUAGUCC
rnacentral:rRNA from 1 species